rnacentral:tRNA from 1 species
CCGAUAUAGCUCAAUUGGUAGAGCAGCUGAUUUGUAAUCAGCAGGUUGCGGGUUCGAGUCCCAUUGUCGG